rnacentral:rRNA from 1 species
AGUGAACGCUGGCGGUAGGCCUAACACAUGCAAGUCGAACGGCAGCACAGUAAGAGCUUGCUCUUACGGGUGGCGAGUGGCGGACGGGUGAGGAAUACAUCGGACUCUACUUUUUCGUGGGGGAUAACGUAGGGAAACUUACGCUAAUACCUCAUACGACCUACGGGUGAAAGCAGGGGAUCUUCGGACCUUGCGCGAUUCAAUGAGCCGAUGUCGGAUUAGCUAGUUGGCGGGGUAAAGGCCCACCAAGGCGACGAUCCGUAGCUGGUCUGAGAGGAUGAUAGGCCACACUGGAACUGAGACACGGUCCAGACUCCUACGGGAGGCAGCAGUGGGGAAUAUUGGACAAUGGGCGCAAGCCUGAUCCAGCCAUACCGCGUGGGUGAAGAAGGCCUUCGGGUUGUAAAGCCCUUUUGUUGGGAAAGAAAAGCAGCAGGUUAAUACCCCGCUGUUCUGACGGUACCCAAAGAAUAAGCACCGGCUAACUUCGUG